rnacentral:rRNA from 1 species
AGAACGAACGCUGGCGGCGUGGAUAAGACAUGCAAGUCGAACGCGACUUAUUUGGUUAGCAAUAACUAGAUAAGUUGAGUGGCGAAAGGGUGCGUAACACGUGGGAAUUUACCAAGAAGUGGGGAAUAGCUCGACGAAAGUCGAAUUAAUACCGCAUGUGAUCGAAAGAUCAAAGUCGGGGACCGCAAGGCCUGACGCUUUUUGAGAAGCCCGCGGCCCAUCAGCUAGUUGGUGAGGUAAUGGCUCACCAAGGCUAUGACGGGUAGCUGGUCUGAGAGGACGACCAGCCACACUGGAACUGAGACACGGUCCAGACACCUACGGGUGGCAGCAGUCGAGAAUUUUUUCACAAUGG